UGGGAAUGACUCCAGCAUACCCACCCAUGGCUGAAAAUAUUCUGGCCUCUUGCAACACUCACCCCAGGUGAAGACGAUCUGCUGACCCCUAACUGUAGGUUCAGACACAGACCCUUGCCAAGACCUAGUUCUGUAAAAAAACGUAGAGUCUGUUUGUGUUGUUUCCUCAUGAAAUCAGUUAGGAAUGCCAGCCAAUAAGGAAGCUUUUAGAAUAAUCCAGGUAAAAUACAAUAGAAUCUGAUGUAAAACAAUGGUGACAGGGAUGGAGAGGGAAGGAGAUGAACUGCGGAGGUUUAAAAGGUGAAAUUUAUUGGCCCUGAAUCAUCAUAAGAUGUGAAGAUUGAGACAUGCAGCUAUGGGGGAGUAGCUAACCAGCCCUCACCAUUCCAAAAGCUUUGAUUGCUCUUCUUAUCACCUAAACCUUAAGAGUUGUUGACUCAGGUGCUGAAAACAUCAGGCUGAAAGCAUCAGUCGAUUUAAAAUACGCCUGUGCCGACAAGAGAAUGGGAAAUGGGAUACAGUUUUUACCUUGAAGGCUGACUGAAGGAGGAUGACCCAUGGUGAAUGUCACAGGUCAACUGGGCAGACUGUGUCCAAGCGAGUCAGCAUGUGCUAAGGAUUUCUUGCUAUUUGUUCUUGUCUUUAUUUUUCCAAUGUGGUUGAAUCUCUGUACAUUUAGCCUUAUAAACAUCUCCCCCACUACUAAUAACCAGAGAAAAAAAUGUUUGUAAUAAAAAUGUACAAUCUAGAGAUCAAACCAUUUUACAAAAGCUUCAAAAAUAUUUAUAUUUUCUUAGCAAACA